rnacentral:tRNA from 1 species
GCCUGGGUGGCUCAGUCGGUUGAGCAUCCGACUUCGGCUCAGGUCAUGAUCUGUGAGUUCAAGACCCUCUGUGAGUUCAAGCCCCACUUCUGGCU